UAAUUAUUUAUUGAAACUUAAAUAAUNUGGCGGUAUUUUAGUUCAUUUAGAGGAAUCUGUUUAUUAAUUGAUAAUCCACGAAUGAAUUUACUUAAUUUAAAAUUUUGUAUAUCGUUGUUAAAAAAAUAUUUUUAAAUGAAAAUAAUAUUUUAAUUUUAUAAUUAAAAAUUAAAUCAGAUCAAGAUGCAGAUUAUAAUUAAGAAUAUAAUGGAUUACAAUAAAUUUAUUUAAAUGGAUUUUUUUUUGUAAUAAAAAUUUGAAAGUGGAUUUAAAUGUAAUUUUAUUUAUUUUAAUAAAAUGAUUAUAUAUUAAAAUAUGUACAUAUUGCCCGUCGCUUUCAUAAAUAAAUUGGAAUAAGUCGUAACAAAGUAGAGGUACUGGAAAGUGUUUCUAGAAAUAA
rnacentral:rRNA from 1 species